rnacentral:rRNA from 1 species
ACGGGUGAGUAACGCGUGGGAACAUACCCUUUUCUACGGAAUAGCUCUGGGAAACUGGAAUUAAUACCGUAUACGCCCUACGGGGGAAAGAUUUAUCGGGGAAGGAUUGGCCCGCGUUGGAUUAGCUAGUUGGUGGGGUAAAGGCCUACCAAGGCGACGAUCCAUAGCUGGUCUGAGAGGAUGAUCAGCCACAUUGGGACUGAGACACGGCCCAAACUCCUACGGGAGGCAGCAGUGGGGAAUAUUGGACAAUGGGCGCAAGCCUGAUCCAGCCAUGCCGCGUGAGUGAUGAAGGCCUUAGGGUUGUAAAGCUCUUUCACCGAUGAAGAUAAUGACGGUAGUCGGAGAAGAAGCCCCGGCUAACUUCGUGCCAGCAGCCGCGGUAAUACGAAGGGGGCUAGCGUUGUUCGGAAUUACUGGGCGUAAAGUGCACGUAGGCGGAUAUUUAAGUCAGGGGUGAAAUCCCAGAGCUCAACUCUGGAACUGCCUUUGAUACUGGGUAUCUUGAGUAUGGAAGAGGUAAGUGGAAUUGCGAGUGUAGAGGUGAAAUUCGUAGA